GACACAAACAGAAACUCACCCAGUGUCCCCACAGAGCGACUCACCAUCAUCAUCAUCGUUUGUAAUACAAAAAACAUCCCAGUUUUACUUGUUUACACGAUUUCACUUAUUUUACAUUUCCAGGCUCAGCAUUUUCAGCCCUGCUGGACACCAGCCUGCAGAUGUUUGUCUCACACUCUGCUCAGUUUUAUUUACACAGCGCCAAAUCACAACAACAGCCGCCUCAAGGCGCUUUAUAUUGUAAGGUAGACCCUACAAUAAUACAUACAGAGAAAACCCAACAAUCAUGUGACCCCCUAUGAGCAAGCACUUUGGCGACAGUGGGAAGGAAAAACUUUUAACAGGAAGAAACCUCCGGCAGAACCAGGCUCAGGGAGGGGCGGGGCCAUCGGUUGGGGUGAGCGUCUUCACGUCCACGGAUUAUCAGCGGGAUUCAACUCUCUGCAGGACCCUCAGUGAAGCUCACUUUGGUUUUUGGAGGUCGUUCCUCACCAGGAGCAGCGCAUGUUCGGUCGUGUUGGUGGUGAUGCUGGUGUUUGGGUCGCAGCCUCGGCCUCCUUUCUUUGAACCUAAGCAGCGUCACCAGCGUCUCCACUCCAAGAGCUCCAGGUUCGUUUCACCUGACCACAGGAUGCUCCCAGUCUGCAGGAUCUUCCUCAGGCUGUCCUCAGCAUACUUCAGUCUGGUUUGAAGGUGUCUGUGUUCCAGUCUCGUGCUUCCUGGUGUGCAGCCUCUGUGCAGGGCUCCAGUGAUGACACUACAUCGGCUCAGUGAAGUUAGUGUUUAGACUCUCACUGGUUUUCUCUCCAAGUCCCUGAAAUCUUUGCUUGCCGUCUCUGCGGGCUUCUUCUGUGAGCACCAACAAUCGUUUCUCUCAAGUCUGAACUGAUUUCGUUUUUAGCCUGAUGUUUUCUCAGUGACAGCUCGAACCCUGCUGAAGUCUUUUAUUCUGAAGAUGACCCUCAGCUUUAACUGGAGCAUUACAGAGUGAAAGCACAUCGCUGCACAGCAGUGGUUUGAGCUGUGCUCCAAUAAAAGCUCAGUGUUUCAGAGGAUAAUAGUAAUAAUAAAACUGACUCUGGUCAUUUUUAGAAAUCAUUCUGUAAUUUGUGCUAAAAGAAAUGAUUUAUGUUUUAUAAAGAAAUGCUGUGAUUAAAAGAACAAUGUUUGUAGGAGGGUAAUAAUUUCGUCCUCGUCUGUAUUAAAACUCAGUCCUGCUCUGCCCUCUAGUGGGCGACUAUGUGCCCACACCUACCCACCCAACACAGCUGAUGUCACAACAGAGACAGCAUCGCCCACAGUUUACAGCACGAAUUCCUCUUUUUAACUGCAUACGAGUACAAAUACUUCAAGUACUUCAGUGUAGGCUGAGCAGAACACGCGAGUACUACAGGAGCUUUUAGAGGAAAUGAAGAAUAAGUAGCAGGUCCAGAGUAGAGUACGACUAACACUGAGCCGAUCAGGCAGUAAGAAAUCAUCAAAGAUUUGGUUUUAGCAACGAUGAGCUGUGAAUCGUUAAAGGAUGAAGUGUCUGAAGACGCAGCUCAGUGGAAUUACAGCCUGUGCUUCACUCAGGAUCCACGGGCAGCAACAGGCCGUCGCUCCACUGCUGCACCGCCAUGUAGGACAGGUUCCUGCGUCCUACACAGAGAGACGCCCACAUGAAGCCUCGCUGUGUGAUGGUGAAAUGACCCUCGGACCUCGCAGACCUACAAACGUCAGCCCACAGCAGCUUCAGCCCACAGCAGCUUCAGCCCACAGCAGCACUAUUAUAAGCGAUGUGGAGAGGAGCAGCUUCUGAAGGCUCUGUGAUCCAUCAGGAAUUCUGAGCGUUGUCCUGAUGUGGACAUCGGCUCCAGCAGCUGCAGGAAUGCCACGCAGCCGUGCACGGUGUACUUAGGAAGUACUGGAAGGUUCCUCUGCAGCCUUCUCCUGGUUGCCUGCUGCAGGCUCAGAAGAAUGAAGGAGCCCAUCUAUCUGCCAGCCUUCCUCAGGCGCUCGGAGCCGUUUCCACAGCACAGCACCAUAAACUGAGAGAAGUUGCACAAUAAACGGAGCCUCGGCUAUAAAAGCUGGGCCGUCACACUCGG